rnacentral:antisense_RNA from 1 species
CCACCAGGUAUUCCCACCCACCAGAAGCUGGCUGUUGUACUCACCCGGAACCAUGGUGCACCACCACAGCGGCGAGGUCAUACAGGCAGCUCUCCGGGCCACUGUUCUCAGGCUACAGAACAAGGAAGAAGGCACAGUGGUCAAUGACAUCGGUAUCUUGAUGACCUCUACCCUCUCCAUGUGAUGACAAUCUUACCGAAGAGCCAUUUUUUCACCAUGCUAAAAAGGCCAGUUGGGUCCAGCAGCUUUGCCUCUCUACCCUUUCAUCACCAAAGUAUACUACUGAGAAAGAAUCAAAUGAAAAGAAAAAAGACUCAACAAGACCUCACUCGUAUUAACUGGACUCUACAAGCAGUGAGCAUCCAGACCUGCAUUCGGUUACAAAAGAAGCCUUCAAGCUAUUUUCAUCAGCUUCCUAAUCAAGUUAAAGAAUAAACCACAAAACUGAGUGUCCA